rnacentral:lncRNA from 1 species
GGGAAAUUGGACUACUACUCUGCAAUAGAGGUUGUCCAGAUCAGCUCGUCCGACAGUUUCAUGUGAUCACAGUUAUCCACAGCCCCUCAUGAAGGCACAUUCUGUCCAGACGGGAAGAAACCAUUGGCCUACCAGCUUAAAAUGCCAGCAGAGUUCAGUGCAUACCUCCUUGGACAGAUACAUCUGCCCUGCACACUCAGUUGGCAGCCCUGACUCAGGCACCAUCCCCUGCAUGCAACAUGUUCACCUUGGGUACACGUGGCACUGCUCACUGUUGCUGGGGCCUGUGGAUGGAAGUCCCACCUUCCUGGUCAAUAUAAGAAGACUGGAGAGAGCUAAGAGUUGGUGGUGUUUGGGGGAGUGUGCAGCUCUCAUACAGAGGAAAGCCUUGUCUUCCCAUCCAAUGGGCAGGGGGGAAAGAGCCCUUUCUCUUCCUUAAAAUCAAAGGAGGGGACACCAAGUGACCCUUUCUUAAAAGUCCCAUUAUGCAUGUUUCCUGGAUCAAAAAAACAUUUGCC